rnacentral:pre_miRNA from 1 species
UGGACAGAUUAUUGUAUUCGACUGUAUUCACGGCAUGAAAUAGGGGAUUACACUGUUUUUAAAACGAAAAUGAAUCAAUUAACAUAAUAGACUCCU